rnacentral:rRNA from 1 species
AUGAAGAAGGUUAUAGGGCGAGAGUUUGUGCCAUCCAAAUACUCGAAACAUCUUCGUCACAAAUUGGAGAACACCACACAAGAUCCAAGUCCCUCGACGAGUACUUAUCUCAGCAAGCCUUGCGACGAGUCGGUGAGGACGACCCCAAUGAUGAAGUGGGACUUCAAAGCGGGAUUGAAUGACGAGAUUGCCAAAACUACCGCGCUCAAUAACUACAAGUCUAUCGACAACCUUUACAAUGUUGCUCUCAAGGCAGAAGGAGAAAUCAAGAAGGCCAAGGCUACUCGACCCAUGCACACUUCAACGACCAAGCUCCAAGACGGCAAGUAUUAG